rnacentral:tRNA from 1 species
GACUUGAAAAUUCGUUGGCUUUAUAAACCGUGA